rnacentral:rRNA from 1 species
UACGUAGGUGGCAAGCGUUGUCCGGAUUUAUUGAGCGUAAAGGGAGCGCAGGCGGUGACUUAAGUCUGAUGUGAAAGCCCACGGCUCAACCGUGGAAGGUCAUUGGAAACUGGGUCACUUGAAUAUAGAAGAGGAAAGUGGAAUUCCAUGUGUAGCGGUGAAAUGCGUAGAUAUAUGGAGGAACACCAGUGGCGAAGGCGACUUUCUGGUCUAUUAUUGACGCUGAGGCUCGAAAGCAUGGGUAGGCAAACAGGAUUAGA